rnacentral:RNase_P_RNA from 1 species
GUCAGUUGCGUGGCUGCGGGGGCUUUUAUGCCAACGAGGAAAGUCCGGGCUUCAUAAAGCAGUGUGACGGAUAACGUCCGCCGAAGGUGACUUCAGGGAAAGUGCAACAGAAAGUACCGCCGAGAGAUCGGGAAGGGAGAAAAGGCGAGGUAAGAGCUCACCGACCGCACGGUAACGCGCGGUGCAAUGUAAACCCCACACGAAGCAAGAUAGGGUUACGGCAAUAUGCGGUCGCUUGUCGCGCCGUAACCGCAAAACGUCGCUUGAGUUUGUCGGUAACGGCAAACGUAGAUAGAUAGCCACGCCCGACAGAACCCGGCUUAUAGACUGACUUUU